CGGCCGCAUCACGUUAAAACACCGGUUCUCGUACGAUCACCGAAUUUAAGUAAUGUCAAGCCUGGUCAGUACCUACAUGGGUGACCGCGUGGGAAUACCA